rnacentral:rRNA from 1 species
AUUGAACGCUGGCGGCAGGCUUAACACAUGCAAGUCGAGCGGGGGCUUCGGUCCUAGCGGCGAACGGGUGAGGAAUGCCUGGGAAUCUGCCUGGUAGUGGGGGAUAACGAUUCGAAAGGGUCGCUAAUACCGCAUACGUCCUACGGGAGAAAGCAGGGGACCUUCGGGCCUUGCGCUAUCAGAUGAGCCCAGGUCGGAUUAGCUAGUAGGUGAGGUAAAGGCUCACCUAGGCGACGAUCCGUAGCUGGUCUGAGAGGAUGAUCAGCCACACUGGAACUGAGACACGGUCCAGACUCCUACGGGAGGCAGCAGUGGGGAAUAUUGGACAAUGGGCGAAAGCCUGAUCCAGCCAUGCCGCGUGUGUGAAGAAGGCCUCGGUU